GGUAACCAUUCUGGAAUGGGGCCAAAAUAUAACCUUGCUAAGUUCCAAUGUGAUCUCCUCGUCGGCUUCAUCGUCGCCAUCCUCGCUGUCCCACAAAGGCAUUAGCUACGCUCGCCUCGCCUACCUUCACCCCUUCAUCGGCCUCUAUUCGAGUUUCAUCCCACCGUUAAUCUAUGCGAUAUUUGGUAGCUCCACAAACGUGGCUAUGGGGGGCACCGCCGCCGUCUAGCUGUUUCUUGCUUCGAUCGGCUAUCGGAGCAAAAGUAUCGCCGGUUGACCACCCGGAGUUGGACACGCAUUUGCUCUUCACCGCCGCCUUCUUCACUGGACUCUUUCAAGCGGCGCUCGACAUCUUCAGGCUGAGUGGUGGAGUUCUUCUCACAUUCGAUGAUCACUGGUUUCAUGGGAGGUACAACGGUCAUCUUCAUCAUGCA